AAUUUCCAAAUUAGUUUCAACAUUAUACAUUCACCAGAAAUGUAUGAGAGUUCCAGCUCUUCCAUAUCCUGGCCAAAUUUGAUUUCACCAAUAAAUACAUCUGGCCCUGAAGUUAGAUUUCUUCAUUUGCCCAUAAGAUACUUGAAGUCCUCUUAUGAAGCAUUACUGUUUUCUCAAAAAUCUGCCAUUAGCAUUGGAAGGAAUUGUAACUGAGCCCCCAUCUUGCCUGUGUCACUCUUGAAACCCAGCUGCCAUGCUAUGAGUAAGUCCAAUUAGCAAAAGUCCCUGAUAGAGAGGAUUUGAGGCCUGCUGACAGCCUUGACUGAGAUUUCAGCCAACACCCAAUAUCAAUUUUGCUAACCGGGAAUGAUCUUACAUCCAUGGAUGUGACUGUCUGAGCAAGUGGAAGAAGCCAUGGUAUAACACAGAUUAAAUUAUCUCAGUGAUGAUGGUAAUCAUUUCCAAAAGAAGGUAGUGGUCCUCUUCCCUGAACUGUAAGAACUGUGAUUUCAUGCACUCCAAGUUGAGAACCCCUGCAGGAUCCUGAGUUGACUAAAUCCUAAUCAGUACGGCAGUCAAAGAUUCCGUAGUGCCUGGCCAUUGUAUGGAAAGAUCAGUCUUCUCAAGGUUAUUAAAAUCUCCCAUAAUAUAUUCACUGUGUACUUACAUGAAUACAAUGAUGUCAACUAAAAUACAAUUUAUUUCAAAUUUUUAAUUUUGUGUUGUCUAUUAAGUAUGCUUACAUUUUUAUGUCAACAUGGUUUCACUUUUUAUGUUAGAAAAUGCUAAGCAAUAAAUGCUACAGCUGAAUGUUGAAAGGUAUUAGUGUUGCUUGAAGCUCACCAAAUAAACACCCAGAUACUCCACGGGUAUAGCCCAGUCCUGACCUUCAGUGGAUAGGAAACUAUUCAGUGAAAUGUAAUGCACAGUACUGGAUUAUGGUCAGUGGAAUUUUUCAAAAUAAAUUAUCCAUAUCUGUAUUACUUGAUUCGGCUUGACUCCUCUUUUAACUAAAGUAUGUUUUAACUGUUUUUUUUCUUUUUUCUUUUUUUUUUUUUUGAGACAGAGACUCCCUCUGUCGCACAGGCUGGAAUGGAGUGCAGUGGCACGAUCGCGGCUCACUGCAAGCUCCGCCUCCGGGGUUCACACCAUUCUCCUGCCUCAGCCUCCCAAGUAGCUGGGACUACAGGAGCCCGCCACUACACCCGGCUAAUUUUUUGUAUUUUUAGUGGAGACGGGGUUUCACCGGGUUAGCCAGGAUGGUCUCGAUCUCCCGACCUCGUCAUCUGCCCGCCUCAGCCUCCCAAAGUGCUGGGAUUACAGGCGUGAGCCACCACGCCCGGCCCAACUAUUUUUUAUUAAUUACUGGCAAACUCCUAUUUUCCAGCCACUUCUGUUAUUCUUAUAAAACACUUUUACACUAUUUACAAAUGUGCAUUAAUACAAAAUUAUUGGUUUAUGCGAUUUCUCAAAAAAAUUUCAUCAUGUACCUCAAAGCUUAAGGUAGUUGGAGGUUCAAGUUCCAAUUAGAACUUAGUGCAAAUCCCUUCUGCAGAUACAAGUAUAGUAAAAUAAUUAUUGCCUGGGAAUUUCAGAAACCUUUUAUAGCUCCUGCUAUUGUCUUCUUGCCAAAAUGAACUAUCUGCUCAUUUAUUCUAAAUUAGAAUUGUGCAGUUAACAAAGAUCAAGAAGAUUAAAAACAUGGUGUGAAGCCAGUUUAGCAUAACAUUUAGUAUUUCCUUUUGUAAGUACUGCUCUCCUGUGCUUAGUUAAGUAUUAUUUAAGAUACUAUUGGAUCUUUAUAGAAUGUUCCCAUGAUUAAAAUUUAAUUUUGACACUACAACAUGUACAAAGUUCUGUCAAGUAUUAUUAAUGAUUAAACAAUGAGGAAAUAUGUUAUUACAGUGUGUUCAAUCUUUAAUGUCCAUUAAAUCCACUUGGUAAGUGUAAGUGGAAAUGAUACUAACUACAAUUCUCAUUCUCUAGUCCUUUACACAUUAUAAAGAAAUGAGGAUCUUACAAUACCAAUCAAUAAGUGAUGAAAAGAAACUGUGCGUGGUGGCUGAAAUUUGAAUGGGCCUUUCACAGAAAUCUUAUUAUUCUCCUACUAGGGACAGUGCAGAACAGACAUUCCACUUCCCGCUUUGUAAGCAAAUGCCUAGGCGUGUAGCACUGUGAUUAUAUUUCUAUCUUCGGCCUUAGAUCAUCUUCAGCAUCAGAGAGUUCUGAAAAUCCCAUUAAGAAGUCAUUUCAAGGAAACAUAAAUGUUCUUUGAAAUAAUCUUCAAUGCUUUUCUAAUUUUUUAUAUUAAUGUCUCCUGCAACCCUCUUCCCAGAAUGGGUAAUAAAUCCUCUUAUAUUUAUGCACAGAGAGAUAUGUAUAUACAGUUUAUUUACUUCCUGUUUUAAUUGCUGUCCUAACUAAAUACAACACAUGUAAUGCAAAUGUUUGCCAAACUUUGUAUGGGUUGUACUUAACAUGUAUAACACUGGCAUUUUAGCUGAACUGAUCGUGACAAAGCAUUCCUGAAUAAAAAUUACUUUUUUAGAAAGGAAACAGUUCUGUUGCAAAAUCAAGUUUUUACUUUUUCUUAUGGUUUUGUAGCCUAACGAAAAAUGAAUACAUGAUGAAAUGUAUCCCAAUUUCCUUCCACUUUUAAUUGAUCUUCAUAGGCUUGAGGGAAUUUGUCUUUAUAUUCAUCUCCCAGGGAGAAUUUCCACCAAAUUAUUUGAGUGAGUUAUCAUCAUUCAACUUUGCCUGGC
rnacentral:lncRNA from 1 species